UUUACACAUAUAUUCCCUCCGUC
rnacentral:snRNA from 1 species